rnacentral:rRNA from 1 species
UACGAAGGGGCUAGCGUUGUUCGGAAUUACUGGGCGUAAAGCGUAUGCAGGCGGACUUUUAAGUCGGGGGUGAAAUCCCGAGGCUCAACCUCGGAACUGCCUUCGAUACUGGAAGUCUUGAGUCCGGGAGAGGUGAGUGGAACUCCGAGUGUAGAGGUGAAAUUCGUAGAUAUUCGGAAGAACACCAGUGGCGAAGGCGGCUCACUGGCCCGGUACUGACGCUGAGAUACGAAAGCGUGGGGAGCAAACAGGG